GUCUGUCAGAAGAGUUCUAUUUACUACUCAUCAAUAUUCUAUGGCAAGUAAAAAAUCUUGCAUGGAGAUGUCUUGCCUUUUUUUCUUGCAAGUUUAAUUCUCACCAAUUAGAAUAUGCAUAGAGUAAUUGAUAUUCAAUUGAAUGAUUGAAUCGAAUAACCCACGUCAAACAGCAAACCACUAGGUAUUUCUGGCAACCCUAAAUUAGUUGAACAGAUCGGUCUCUUUAUUGAUUAACCGAAUUUAUCUCAAUCAAACUUUUCAUCUACACGCUUUGGGUAUGAUUCGAAAUUUUAAAGCGCACGAUCAAUCAAGAGCACACUUUGAUACAACAAAUGUUAUUUAUUUAGUCAUCGAUUCCAUCGUUACAGACGACGACGGGGCACGAUUCGGAGAUACCAAGCGAGAGCGGUUUUCCAUGAACGAACAGAAGUGGAAACAAAGAUACAGGCAUCAAUGUCGCGAGGCCGGAAAAAUUAUUAAUCAGAGCAGCGUAUCAAAUUAGAUGGUAUCAAACCUGCCAGCAAGGAUGGAUUAAUCAACAAAUAAAGGGCUGAUGAGAAAGCACAUUGAAAAGUCUAUGAGUUAAAAUGAUGGUAAAUAUUUCCAAAAUUAAAAUUGUACCAUCUUAUCCUGACAGCCUGAGUUGUCCUUGUUUCUUUGAUUUUUUUUAAAUCUGAAAUUAAGAUUUAAAUCUAAAAUAGUCACAUCAAAUCUUGUUUUGAUUUUAGUUUUGUUUUAAUUUUUGCUUAACAAAUACAGACAAUCAUUUAGGUAAAACCUUACCUAUUUUCUUUUAUUUUUUUUUAAUGUGAUUUGAUCUCUGAAGCCAAUUUGCACAAUUCUCCAUUUGUUAGUUUUUUAGAUUUUCUUUCUGUAACAAAAAACAGCAAUGACUCGUUACACUUAUGUGGAGAAGCAAUCACUUACCUAUUUUCUUUUAUUUUCUUUAAUGUGAUUUGAUAUCUGAAGCCAAUUUGGACAA